rnacentral:rRNA from 1 species
GGUGAGUAAUGUCUGGGAAACUGCCUGAUGGAGGGGGAUAACUACUGGAAACGGUAGCUAAUACCGCAUAACGUCGCAAGACCAAAGAGGGGGACCUUCGGGCCUCUUGCCAUCGGAUGUGCCCAGAUGGGAUUAGCUAGUAGGUGGGGUAACGGCUCACCUAGGCGACGAUCCCUAGCUGGUCUGAGAGGAUGACCAGCCACACUGGAACUGAGACACGGUCCAGACUCCUACGGGAGGCAGCAGUGGGGAAUAUUGCACAAUGGGCGCAAGCCUGAUGCAGCCAUGCCGCGUGUAUGAAGAAGGCCUUCGG